rfam:Picea glauca, whole genome shotgun sequence.
GCCUGCAACAUAUCCUUAAUGUAGUGGAUCCCAUUAGAACUUCGCAGUUAAUCACGCUCAGGCUAGAGCAGUAUUGUGAUGGGUGACCGCUCGGGAAGUCCUAGUGUUUUGCAUGCC